rnacentral:lncRNA from 1 species
UGAUUUUAGAUUUUCUUUUUAUUUACUUCUGUGAACACAACUGCUGGAUUUAAUAUCUGCAAUUCUUCUUCCGCUGUCUAAUUUAUUGAAUUUGCAGUCUCCAUUCUCUGUUACCUGACUGUUGGAAUAUGUAUAUUAGAAAAAUGGUAUACCCAUCUGUUGUUGGAUAGUGUUGUUUUUCCAUUUUCUUUUUGUUUCUCUCUCAAACUCAUCUGAUUACCAAAGAGUUUUUGCACAGUGUGUUUUAGGUGUUGUAUGUCAUGUUGUUUUCUAGGAGGUGCAGGCACAAACAUGACAUGUACCGUAGAUUAAGAGGUAUAGUGAGUGAGGGAGCACCGUCCUGGGCCCAGCUCUUUACUAGCUCUCAUGAGGAAUCUAAGGCCUAUAUCAAACUAGUCAUCCAGAUUUAGGAAGGGGAAGGUAUGGGAACAAAGGAAGGGGAAGGUAUGGGAAUGCUGUGCUCCUUCAUAGAACUGGAAGGAAUUCUAAAUCAUUUUAGAACUCUUGGAGUGAAUUCCAGAACCUUCUCAGCACCCAUUGGUACAAUGAAUUAGAAUAGAACUCUUAGAAUGAAAUCUGAUUUUUAUACUGAACAAAAAUAUAAAUGCAACAUGCAACAAUUUCAAAGAUUUUACUGAGUUACAAUUCAUAUGAGGAAAUCAGUCAAUUUAAAUUAAUGAAUGAAUCUACGGAUUUCACAUGACUGGGAAUACAGAUCUGUUGGUCAUAGAUACCUUAAAUGAAAUGGGCCUCACAAUGGUCCUCAGGAUCUCGCCACGAUAUAUCUGUGCAUUCAAAUUGCCAUCGAUAAAAUGCAAUUGUGUUUGUUGUCCGUAGCUUAUGCCUGUCCAUACCAUAAUCCCCACCGCCACCAUGGGGCACUCUGUUCACAUGACGCCAUACAAGUGGUCUGCGGUUGUUAGGCCGGUUUGACAUACUGCCAAAUUCUCUAAAACGAUGUUGGAGGCGGCUUACGGUAGAGAAAUUAAUAUUCAAUUCUCUGGCAACAGCUCUGGUGGACAUUCCUACAGUCAGCAUGCCAAUUGCAUGUUUCUCAAAACUUGGGAUAUCUGUGGCAUUGUGUUGUGACAAAACUGCACAUUUUAGAGUGGCCUUUUAUUGUCCCCAGCACAAGGUGCACCUGUGUAAUGAUCAUGCUGUUUAAUCAGCUUCUUGAUAUGCCACACCUGUCAGGUGGAUGGAUUAUCUGGAAAAGGAGAAAUGCUCACUAACAGGGAUAUAAGCUUUUUGUGCAUAUGGAACAUUUCUGGGAUAUUUUAUUUCAGUUCAUGAAACAUGGAACAACACUUUACAUGUUGCGUUUCUAUUUUUGUUCAGUGUAGAACUCUGAGAAUGAAUUAUAAUUCUAUGAAUUAUCUGGUCCCUGUCUAUUUAGGAGAAUGUCUUCUGUGCAGUAGCACGCCCCUGGUUUUGGGUUCAAGUUUAAAGGUCUCCUCUACUCCACACAGUCUUUAAGCCCAAGAGAAGACCGGGUCAGCUACACUUGGAGCAGGAGGGCCAACUGUGCUCUACCAUAAUAGUCUUGGUUUUCUGGGGCUUUUUAAUAUUUCUGUUGUUCAUUCAGCCCUGUCCAACUGGGAAAGGUUUUAUAUUUAAGAAAUAAAAUGAAGAAUGUUUAUCAAAAA